rnacentral:rRNA from 1 species
GGAAUUGACGGGGCCCGCACAAGCGGUGGAGCAUGUGGUUUAAUUCGACGCUACGCGAAGAACCUUACCUGGGCUUGAACUGCUGGUGGUAGAAGCCCGAAAGGGUAACGACCCGGAGCAAUCCGGGAGCCAGUAGAGGUGCUGCAUGGCUGUCGUCAGCUCGUGUCGUGAGAUGUUGGGUUAAGUCCCGCAACGAGCGCAACCCUUACCCUUAGUUGCCAGCGGGUAAUGCCGGGCACUCUAAGGGGACCGCCCGGAUAACGGGGAGGAAGGCGGGAAUGACGUCAAGUCAGCAUGGCCUUUAUGUCCAGGGCUACACACGUGCUACAAUGGGCGAUACAGAGGGAAGCAAGGCCGCAAGGUAGAGCUAAUCCCUAAAGUCGUCCUCAGUUCGGAUUGCAGGCUGCAACUCGCCUGCAUGAAGUCGGAAUCGCUAGUAAUCGCGGAUCAGCUACGCCGCGGUGAAUACGUUCCCGGGCCUU